rnacentral:tRNA from 1 species
GCCCCGGUAGCUCAGCGGAAGAGCGCCCGCCUCGUAAGCGGGAGGUCGAGGGUUCAAAUCCCUCUCGGGGCU